rnacentral:pre_miRNA from 8 species
AGACACAUACCUGUAUAUGUAGACAUGUGUAUAUAUAUAUAUAUAUAUACACACACACACAGACGUACCAACAUGUACAUGUAUAUAUAUACAGGUAUGUGUCUA